rnacentral:rRNA from 1 species
UACGUAGGGAGCAAGCGUUGUCCGGAAUCAUUGGGCGUAAAGCGCGCGUAGGUGGCUUCGUAAGUCCGUUGUGAAAGUCAAAGGCUCAACCUUUGAAAGCCGAUGGAUACUGUGAAGCUAGAGUACGGAAGAGGCGAGUGGAAUUCCUGGUGUAGCGGUGGAAUGCGCAGAUAUCAGGAGGAACACCAAUGGCGAAGGCAGCUCUCUGGUACGUGACUGACACUGAGACGCGAAAGCGUGGGGAGCGAACAGG